rnacentral:rRNA from 1 species
ACGCACGCUGGCGGCGUGCUUCACCCCUGCAAGUCGUACGGUAAGGCCCUUUCGGGGGUACACGAGUGGCGAACGGGUGAGUAACACGUGAGUAACCUGCCCACAACUUUGGGAUAACGCUAGGAAACUGGUGCUAAUACUGGAUAUGUGCUCCUGCUGCAUGGUGGGGGUUGGAAAGCUCCGGCGGUUGUGGAUGGACUCGCGGCCUAUCAGCUUGUUGGUGGGGUAGUGGCCUACCAAGGCGGCGACGGGUAGCCGGCCUGGGAGGGUGACCGGCCACAUUGGGACUGAGAUACGGCCCAGACUCCUACGGGAGGCAGCAGUGGGGAAUAUUGCACAAUGGGCGCAAGCCUGAUGCAGCAACGCCGCGUGCGGGAUGACGGCCUUCGGGUUGUAAACCGCUUUCAGCAGGGACGAAGCUUUUUGUGACGGUACCUGCAGAAGAAGCACCGGCUAACUACGUG